GAUGAACGCUGGCGGCGUGCCUAAUACAUGCAAGUCGAGCGAACGGACGAGAAGCUUGCUUUUCUGAUGUUAGCGGCGGACGGGUGAGUAACACGUGGAUAACCUACCUAUAAGACUGGGGUAACUUCGGGAAACCGGAGCUAAUACCGGAUAAUAUUUUGAACCGCAUGGUUCAAAAGUGAAAGACGGUCUUGCUGUCACUUAUAGAUGGAUCCGCGCUGCAUUAGCUAGUUGGUAAGGUAACGGCCUACCAAGGCGACGAUGCAUAGCCGACAUGAGAGGAUGGUCAGCCACACUGGAACGUACACACGGUCCAGACUCCUACGGGAGGCAGCAGUGGGGAAUAUUGGGUAAUGGGUGCAAGCCUGAUCCAGCCAUACCGCGUGGGUGAAGAAGGCCUUCGGGUUGUAAAGCCCUUUUGUUGGGAAAGAAAAGCAGCAGGUUAAUACCCCGCUGUUCUGACGGUACCCAAAGAAUAAGCACCGGCUAACUUCGUG
rnacentral:rRNA from 1 species